UGCCUUGAUCCUGGCUCAGGAUGAACGCUGGCGGCGUGCCUGGACCAUGCAAGUCGAACGAGGCCCUUUCGUAUUCGUACGAAGGUGUCCUAGUGGCGAACGGGUGAGUAACACGUUGGUGACCUGCCCCAAAGAAGGGGAUAACCCUGGGAAACCGGGGCUAAUACCCUAUGUGCUCCAAAGAGUUAGAGCGCUUUGGAGUAAAGGAGCAAUCCGCUUUGGGAUGGGGCCUGCGGCCCAUCAGCUAGUGGUAGGGUAAUGGCCUACCAAGGCGAUGACGGGUAGGGGACCUGAGAGGGUGGCCCCCCACACUGGCACUGAAACACGGGCCAGCCCCCUACGGGUGGCAGCAGUGGGGAAUAUUGCCCAAUGGACGAAAGUCUGAGGCAGCAACGCCGCGUCGAUGAAGGCCUUCGGGUUGUAAAGCGCUUUUCUGGGGGAAGAGAAAGGACGGUACCCCAGGAAUAAGUCUCGGCUAACUACGUGCCAGCAGCCGCGGUAAAACGUAGGAGGCGAUGACGUUAUCCGGAUUUACUGGGCGUAAAGCGCGUGCAGGCGGUGGUAAGUCGGGCGUAAAAGCUCCCAUCUCAGCGGGGAGAAGCCGUUCGAUACUACCAGACUAGAGGGCAGCAGAGGGCAAUGGAAUUCCGGGUGUAGCGGUGAAGUGCGUAGAUAUCCGGAGGAACACCAGUGGCGAAGGCGGCCUCCUGGACUGUCCCUGACGCUAAGACGCGAAAGCUAGGGGAGCGAACGGGAUUAGAAACCCCGGUAGUCCUAGCCGUAAACGAUGCAGACUUGGUGUUGGUGGUGUAGAAGCCAAAGUCGAUUCUGCCGCCUGGGGACUACGACCCCUGGUAGUCCAUG
rnacentral:rRNA from 1 species